AGUGAACGCUGGCGGUAGGCCUAACACAUGCAAGUCGAACGGCAGCACAGUAAGAGCUUGCUCUUACGGGUGGCGAGUGGCGGACGGGUGAGGAAUACAUCGGAAUCUACUUUUUCGGGGGGGAUAACGUAGGGAAACUUACGCUAAUACCGCAUACGACCUACGGGUGAAAGCAUGGGAUCUUCUGACCUUGCGCGAUUGAAUGCGCCGAUGUCGGAUUAGCUAGUUGGCGGGGUAAAGGCCCACCAAGGCGACGAUCCGUAGCUGGUCUGAGAGGAUGAUCAGCCACACUGGAACUGAGACACGGUCCAGACUCCUACGGGAGGCAGCAGUGGGGAAUAUUGGACAAUGGGCGCAAGCCUGAUCCAGCCAUACCGCGUGGGUGAAGAAGGCCUUCGGGUUGUAAAGCCCUUUUGUUGGGAAAGAAAAGCAGCAGGUUAAUACCCCGCUGUUCUGACGGUACCCAAAGAAUAAGCACCGGCUAACUUCGUG
rnacentral:rRNA from 1 species